ensembl:lncRNA
AUGCUUUCUUUCAAGUGUCUCCUUUGCGGUUAUCCAAAAUUAUUUCUUCUUCAUAACUUAGAAAUUUUUAAGACUGAAUUAUUGCAAUUUUCUACUGACUUCAGGUUUCCUCAAACUUGUAUUUAUUCCCAAAUAAAUAGGUCUUUAUCCCCAAACCUGUAUUUCUAAGUAUUUCCAAUAUUCUUGAAGAGUGUACUCUCCUGGUGAUUAUUAUACUGAAUGAUAGUUCCUCCAGUAUUUCCCAAAAGCAAAGGUAAUAGAUGUCCCUCAUGGUAUUGGAGAAAAGUAAUAUCUGUCCCUAUACACAAAGAAUAGCAUUCCCCCCUGUCAAGCACUGGGCCCAAAGCACCUGCUUGUCCAGUCUCCUUGGUACCAGAGACAUUUUGAAGAUGAGAUUAGCCUGAAGAUAUUAUGAGACAGCUUCUGGGAGGAACCAGGAUGUUCUUCUUGCUCUAAGUGGCUUGGAAAAGGGUGAGCCCUCUGGAGAGCAGGACUCAACCUACAUGUUUUGUUGUGAAGAUAACAAAGUCUGUCACAACACCUUUAAACUGGGUUAUUUUCAUUCCACCCAAACAUAUUAUAACCAAAAGCAGAUUCAUUUCUGCUUCGGAUUUGUAUUUUCCAGGCCCCCUACAUUUUGUUAUGAUUUACUGAGAUAAAAAUCAGAGAUACAAAUACCUGAUACUCCCUUCUUUAUAAGAUUAAGACUAUGACUCAAUGAUUUAAUGCCAACAACUACUGCAAUGAUACACAAGGUACUUUCAGAAUAACAAUAAUAUCUUACACUUGUAUCACAUUUCAUAUUUCACAUUCAUUAUUUCAUAGUGUGUUGUUUCUGUGUGAUGGUAUUGUUAAAUUUUUGGAAAAUAUGUCAUUUCAUGUUGCCAAUAUUUUAUUUAAUGCAGGUUUAAUUCAACCAGCAAUAAGUGAACACCUACUAUCUUCCAAACUCAUGUCAUAUUCUAAACACAUUUACUAAAGUUGACCAAAAUGUUUUGCCAUCAUAACCUUAGACAAAUGGAUCCAUUAUAUCACAAACCUAAUGUCUAUUACAUUAAUAAACUAUACUUUCCUGUAUGACA